CUCGGAAUGCUGCUCUUGGUGCUGAGGACAAGGCUGUUCCAUGACACUGGUGAGGAAGAGGAGGAGAUGUUACAUUUGCAGCAGGACAGAGCAUCUUUUGCAAUCAUUAUGGUACCUAAAUGCUAUUUGGACUACCCCUCACAACCUGAAGUAACCAAGUGGGCAUCCUUAAUAAUAAUAUCCAAGUGGAACAGUUUGAAUCUGAGGCCUGUGACAAAAGUGAUGACUUCAUCAGUCUCUACGACUUGCUUAAGUUGAAUCGGACUCUGCAAAAAACUCCCCUCAGCAUUCCUUAAAGUUUCAGGAGCUGGCUUCAUUUGAAAGCCACAAGCAAGCCUCCUUUUGGAAGGAAAGCAUGCCUUCUGAUGCCAUUUCACCACCUCAUCUGAGCUAGCCUUCAAAGAAACAGGCACCAAAUU